GACGAACGCUGGUGGCGUGCCUAAUACAUGCAAGUCGAGCGCAGGAAACUGACGGAACUCUUCGGAGGGAAGGCAGCGGAAUGAGCGGCGGACGGGUGAGUAACACGUAAGGAACCUGCCUCAAGGAUUGGGAUAACUCCGAGAAAUCGGAGCUAAUACCGGAUAGUUCAUCGGACCGCAUGGUCUGUUGAUGAAAGGCGCUUCGGCGUCACCUUGAGAUGGCCCUGCGGUGCAUUAGCUAGUUGGUGGGGUAACGGCCCACCAAGGCGACGAUGCAUAGCCGACCUGAGAGGGUGAUCGGCCACACUGGGACUGAGACACGGCCCAGACUCCUACGGGAGGCAGCAGUAGGGAAUCUUCCACAAUGGACGAAAGUCUGAUGGAGCAACGCCGCGUGAGUGAUGAAGGUUUUCGGAUCGUAAAACUCUGUUGUAAGGGAAGAACACGUACGAGAGGGAAUGCUCGUACCUUGACGGUACCUUACGAGAAAGCCACGGCUAACUACGUGCCAGCCGCCGCCGUAAAAC
rnacentral:rRNA from 1 species